GGUGUAUAAGAGACAGGUGAGUCAUCGAAUCUUUGAACGCACAUUGCGCCCUUUGGUAUUCCAUAGGGCAUGCCUGUUCGAGCGUCGUCUCAAACCUUCAAGCCUAGCUUGGUGUUGGGUGACUGUCCCGCCUCUCCGCGCGGACUCGCCUCAAAGUCAUUGGCAGCAGACUCGGUAGCUAAUUGCGCAGCACAUUGCGCCAGAGGCUCCGGGCCCGCUCUCCACGAGCACAGUCUCAUCAGUUUGACCUCGGAUCAGGUAGGGAUACCCGCUGAACUUAAGCAUAUCAAUAAGCGGAGG
rnacentral:misc_RNA from 1 species